GGCUUUAGAGGUCGGAUCCAGCAAAUCCGCUUCGUACACUCGAACCUUGGGCACGGAGUGGCAGUAGUAGAGUAGGUAAGGGAACAGGCUCUGAUGGCAAGACACGGACUCCGUCACCUUCCCUCCGUUCAUCCCUUUCACCGCCCCAAUCAUUAUGUUCCCCUUCGAACCCUUCGUGUUCUCCGUCGUCCGGACCACCACGUUCCUCCCCAGCACCGACGUCGCGAAGUCUAUCAUAUCUUCCACCGAACCCACGCACCGCUUCGUCUCCCCGGCGCUGGGCGCCCUCUCGCAUUCCCUUACCGUCUCCGUCAUCAUAGUC
rnacentral:misc_RNA from 1 species